UUCUCGUGGUCAUGGGAGAAGGACGGCUGCUUCUCGACGAGGUCUGCAUACGCGGCAAAAUUCUGGGACAGAGAAGUGAUCCCAACGGCAGGCUUCACUUGGGGAUCAAGGGCUCCGCUACGAUGUCGCUUUUUCACGUGGCUGGCCCUCCAGAACAGGUGCUGGACGGCGGACCGGCUAGCCCGGCGCGGCCUGGAUCAUCCGGAGCAGUGCCCUUUUUGCGAUCAGCAUGAGGAGAGUAUCAGCCACUUAUUGCUUCAAUGCGUGUUUGCCACUGAGGUCUGGACCAUCGUCUCCACUGCAGCAAAUAAACCAAGCUGGGCACCAACAGGAGGUGAC
rnacentral:rRNA from 1 species